CCCUCCCUCAUGGAGAGCCCGUGCGCGGAGCAGCGCGCAUGGCCGGGAGCUGCGCAGGCGCCCUGACAGGACGCGGGGCCGUUAAUGGCGGCGGGCUGAGCUGUGAGCUGUGAGUUGUGGCCAUGAGUGCCGUGCCCGGGCUGCAGGAGGACUGCGAGGCGCUGCUCGGUGCCUUCCAGGAAGCCGACACCGUCCGCUUCGAGCGCUUUGCUGAGCUGUGGCGGGAGCGCCGCUUCCACACCAUCUUCCAUGGUAGAAUGAGAGCUCUGGAGAGGAAUAAGAUCACAAAGAAGACGUUAGAGCUGGCACAGCAGUACUUUUUGCCGCCGUAUGCCUUCCAGAUCCGAGUCGGUGCUCUGUACCUUCUGUAUGGGCUCUACAACACGCAGCUCUGCCAGCCAAAAAUAAAGAUCAGGAUUGCACUCAAGGAUUGGCCUGAAGUCCAGAGCUUUCAACAGGAUCUGAUAGAUUCCCAGCAUUAUGAUGCAGCAUACAUCUUUAGGACACUGCGUCGUGCCAGAGCAUUCCAUUUCACAGCAAUGCCAAAGCCACUAAACUACAGAACUAAGAAAAAGAUCCAGGAAAAUGAAUGUAAAGAAGAAUUUAAAGAUCCAAGUAACAGAGUAAGCAGCCUCAUCACGAAUGAUGUAUUGGAGGAACUGAUGAAUAUUCAUGAGCACUAUCAGAAAAUGAAAUGUGCCAUAUCAGCUGACAAAUCCCAGCCAGACAAGGCCCUGAGCUUGAUAAAAGAUGAAUUUGUAGUUUCUCUUAAAAACAUGGCUUUGGAACAUCAGGAAUGGCAGCAAAAAAGAUUGAAAUUGUUACUAAAAGCUAAAGAAGCUGAUGAAAUGCCAAACAGAGUGGAAGAAGGAACUUCGCUAAGAUCAGAAGGUUCUGAAAGAGCAGAUGCUUUGGCUAGAAUCAAAAACAAGUCUUAUUCUGCAGUUGUUGAGGCCUCCAAAUCCAGAAGACAUCGUCAAGUAAUACUAGAAUCUUCUGAAUCGGGAUUGGAUUAUGGGAAAUCUCCAAAACGAAGUAAAAAAAGCAGUAGGAGACCACAGCCAGCAGAGAAAAGAGGUUCUCUGGAAAUCAGAGGCCAGAUGCAAGCAGAAAAGGAAACUGUUACUCACCAUAUCGGGAUGCCUGUAAUCACAGAAGAAGAUAGCUCAGAUACAGAAGAAGUACCUCUCCCCAAGAGGAGAAGACGGCAUUAGAAUCCAGUUGGAGAACACGAAUGUGAAUUGUAAUGCCAAAAUGUCAAGAUGUAACACAGAGUGCUUGUUUGGAUUCCGCUGGAUGUACAACAGGAACUGGCUGGGACCAGAACUACAGCUGACACUGGAAUACUGGUGCUGAUUGCUGUACUUCAGCAGUCUCAUGGUGACACCAAGCUGUACAAAGGCAGGAGUAGAAUUCAAAAUGAUCUUUAUCAAUUGGAGCAGUGAUGUGGAAAGAAGUAGGAAUGGAAAUAAACAUGAAGCUUAGCACUAGGAAAAGGUACAGGAUGGGGAAACAAUUGCUAGGCAACAGUACUGCAGGAACAGCAAAAAGACUGAGAAUCAUUAGCUGGAGUAUUUUCUGUAAACAGUAACAUCCUCUAGCAUUUGUGUCACCAUUCAGCCCUGUAAGGCCAAAGGUUUAAAUACUCUCGUAUGACCAUUGAUAAUUUAAAAAAAAAACCCUAAAGUGAGUAAUUAUUCUCUUUUGUAUUUUCUCCAGUUGAACACAGCUGCAAAAAAAAAACACAAUCUGUCAAGAAAGGCCAAUGAGUUUCAGGUGUCCUUUUCUACAGGAAUAAAUAGAGAUACAAAACCAUUUUUUGGCAUAAAAGGGGUCUA